rnacentral:snoRNA from 1 species
AGGGGGGUCUAUCCCAAUGGGGCUUUUUCUGUAAACCUACAUGGUUGGACAUGCCUCUAAGAGUAACUGUAUGGUUUCCUUUACCUGUAGAACUACCUGUUAGAUCUGUGGGGAAGAACUAUAAGCCAGAG